rnacentral:tRNA from 1 species
GCUCCGGUGGCGCAGUUGGAUAGCGCAGUCCCCUCCUAAGGGACAGGUUACAGGUUCGAAUCCUGUCCGGGGCA